rnacentral:rRNA from 1 species
AUUGAACGCUGGCGGCAGGCCUAACACAUGCAAGUCGAGCGGGGUUUUCGGACCUAGCGGCGGACGGGUGAGUAAUGCGUAGGAAGCUACCCGAUAGAGGGGGAUACCAGUUGGAAACGACUGUUAAUACCGCAUAAUGUCUACGGAUCAAAGUGUGGGACCUUCGGGCCACAUGCUAUCGGAUGCGCCUACGUGGGAUUAGCUAGUUGGUGAGGUAAUGGCUCACCAAGGCGACGAUCUCUAGCUGGUUUGAGAGGAUGAUCAGCAACACUGGAACUGAGACACGGUCCAGACUCCUACGGGAGGCAGCAGUGGGGAAUAUUGGACAAUGGGCGCAAGCCUGAUCCAGCCAUGCCGCGUGUGUGAAGAAGGCCUUCGGGUUGUAAAGCACUUUCAGCGAGGAGGAAGAGUUGUGUGUUAAUAGUACACAGCUUUGACGUUACUCGCAGGAGAAGCACCGGCUAACUCUGUGCCAGCCGCCGCAGUAACAC